GAAAGAAUUGGCAAAAUUCUGUUUGUGUGCGCAAACCAUUUUGAAUUGGACUGUUUUGCCAACCUGGGUGAAUAUAACGCUGGACUCGCAACAAGAUUGACCUUGCAAGCGGGUUCAGUACCAUCUAUCCGUCGCAUUUCAGACGAGGCAAAUGGACACCAGCCUUCAGCAGAUUAGAGAAGGUGUUGACCAACAAGAGGGUUCUGAAAGAUGUGGGGAAGCUGAGCCCUCACUACCAGACCUCGUCGUUGGAGUCUUUCCACAUCGUCAUUCUGCGUUUUGCGCCCAAAAACGUAGUCUUUCCUUUUCUUGGAAUGUUAUGCAGGUAACAGUACGAUCAUUUUUUCAAAGAAAUGUAUACCUAUUAUGUAUUAUACAAACUAUUAUACACGCAUACACACAUGCUCUUAUAAGUAUUAUUUUCUCCCCAAAGACUCUCCCUGGCAGUCCUGCAUUUCAAUGAAAAUGCUGGGCGUCCCCAAGCAACAAGUUCAGCUGGUGAGCCGCUAUUUAAAGUGAACCUCCCAAAAUACAAGAAGGGCGAGUGCACUGCAAAGCCGGUGAAAGCAGAGCCAACCUUCCAGUACGUGGAUAACCUGUUGGACCUCAUCUUUCACAAGGUUUUUCAGGACCCGGCCCCAUAUGUGAAUGAGGUGCUGAAGAUCCCAAUACCCGCGGAUCUCUCUGCCCAGUUUGAGAAACCUGACAAGCGGGAAG